rnacentral:sRNA from 1 species
GCUGGGUGUGGUGGUGCACACUUGUAAUCCCAGCGGCUCGGGAGGCUGAGGCAGGAGGAUUGUGAGUUCAAAGCCAGCCUCAGCAACUAAGCAAGGCUCUUAGCAACUCAGCAAAACUCUUGUCUCUA